rnacentral:sRNA from 1 species
GCUGGGCAUGGUGAUGUACACCUGUAAUCCCAGCAGCUUGGGAAGCUGAGGCAGGAGGAUUGCAAGUUCAAAGCCAGCCUCAGCAACUUAGUGAGACGCUAAAGCAAUUUAGAGAGACCCUGUCUCAA